rnacentral:rRNA from 1 species
UACAGGGGGGGGCAAGCGUUGUUCGGAAUUACUGGGCGUAAAGGGCUCGUAGGCGGCCAACUAAGUCCGACGUGAAAUCCCAAAGCUUAACUUUGGAACUGCGUCGGAUACUGGAUGGCUUGAAUUCGGGAGAGGGAUGCAGAAUUCCAGGUGUAGCGGUGAAAUGCGUAGAUAUCAGGAGGAACACCGAUGGCGAAGGCAGGUCUCUGGGCAUUAACUGACGCUGAGGAGCGAAAGCAUGGGGAGCGAACAGG